rnacentral:rRNA from 1 species
GCCGAAGCAAACGAACGUUAUUCGGAAUUACUGGGCUUAAAGGGUGCGUAGGCUGUGGGGAAAGUUAGGUGUGAAAUCCCCCGGCUCAACCGGGGAAUUGCGCUUAAAACUACCGUGCUAGAGGAAGACAGAGGUGGGCGGAACUUCGGGUGUAGCGGUGAAAUGCGUUGAUAUCCGAAGGAACACCGGUGGCGAAAGCGGCUCACUGGGCCUUUUCUGACGCUGAUGCACGAAAGCUAGGGGAGCAAACGGG